rnacentral:rRNA from 1 species
CGUUACCUACGGGAGGCAGCAGUAGGGAAUCUUCCACAAUGGGCGAAAGCCUGAUGGAGCAACGCCGCGUGGGUGAAGAAGGUUUUCGGAUUGUAAAGCUCUGUUAGCAGGGAAGAGGAAGGACGGUACCUGCAGAGGAAGCCACGGCUAACUACGUGCCAGCAGCCGCGGUAAUACGUAGGUGGCAAGCGUUGUUCGGAAUAACUGGGCGUAAAGGAUGCGUAGGCGGUUAAACAAGUUAUAUGUUAAAUAUAUAGGCUUAACCUGUAGAAAGCAUAUAAAACUGCUUAACUAGAGUGCGGGAG